AAGUCGUAACAAGGUCUCCGUUGGUGAACCAGCGGAGGGAUCAUUAACACGUAUCCACGUACCAACCAAUCGUGCACCUGUUUUCGCAUCUCCCUGCCACUGCUGCUGGAGAAGUGCGACCGAGGGAAUGGGACUCUUUUGAGCCGCGGUCGAACUUUCACCUGUGCGCAAGCACUCACAUCAGCAAGGGUCAGGCUUCUUUCCUGGAAUUGAAGCUCCAUUCACGCUUCAGUUCCGUGGAGCAUUCACACACACCUUUCACCCCUUUUUGCUAGUUGACUUUAUUCAGUGCAGCGCUCUUCGGAGCCUUCACACGUUUACUAAUUGAACGUAAAAGAAACAACUCUUAGCAAUGGAUAUCUUGGUUCUC
rnacentral:misc_RNA from 1 species